UACGGAGGGUGCGAGCGUUGUCCGGAAUCAUUGGGCGUAAAGGGCGCGUAGGUGGCCCCUCAAGCGUGCGGUGAAAGUCAGGGGCUCAACCCCUGAUCGGCCGUGCGAACUGGGGAGCUUGAGCACUGUAGAGGCAGGCGGAAUUCCGGGUGUAGCGGUGGAAUGCGUAGAGAUCUGGAAGAACACCGGUGGCGAAGGCGGCCUGCUGGGCAGUUUUGCUGACACUGAGGCGCGACAGCGUGGGGAGCAAACAGG
rnacentral:rRNA from 1 species